UCCAGAAAAUUGAGAUUGUUGGAUAAUCAAUCUUUCAAGAAGGAGUUGAUGCUAUUGGAUUAAUUCCUUUUAUCUGUUGGUAUGAUACACAUGUCAGAUUGCACACAGCUGAAGCCCAAGAACAGUUCCUCUAUCUCAUCAGUCCCUGCUUCCCCAGGUGAUGCUGUGCACAGCGAAGGCUCUCAGCAAUGUGGUCCCAUUGCUUGCUGCCGGCUCUGUGUCCUUGCCAGUGCAACUCCAGACAGCGCUCUGUUCUCCAGAGAAAGCAAAUGGGGCACGCCACAACUGUCAGCCAUGUAUUCCGGCUCCAUCAGAGUCAUCAGAAACAUCCUGAACUUUUCAUGCCCAAAGUUGGACAGUAGAGCAUGAUCCUUGGUGCCUGUAGCUGACAUGUUCUGUGUAGUGUGGCUCUAUCCAAAGAAGAGGGGAAAUGGGAGAAGUGUGGAUCACUCCAUUAACCUGUCUGACCAAAGACCAUUUGGCUCCUGCAUCCCUCUUGAGUAUGAUCUAACUAGAGACAAAGUGCACUGAGAAAUUCCAGGGUUCCGUGCAGAGUUCCAAGUUCUAAAGCACCAAGGCUGCAUCAGACACUCAAUUCUAAAGAACCACACAUUAAAAAUCAAAGAUUCAGUAAAUAUUUCCCCAAGGACAGUCAUCCUCAGUUUCCUGCAUACCCAUUAUUCACUAUUCAUUUUAUUUUCCUUUUGUAACGUGCUUUUGGACUGUUCUUUAAAAUGACAUUAUUCUAAAGUUUUUUCUAGAGACUGCAUUCCAACUUCAGGUAACAACAUUUGUAUAUAUUUCUUCAGCAGCUGUUACUCCAGUAAAGAAGAGCUGAGUCUAAAUCUUCAAGAGAAAUUCGAAUUCUCCAACUGCUCUUCUGCAUCAAGGAUCUCCUAGACCAUUCCCAGGUUGGAGGAUUUGCUAGGAGGAAUCACAGGACUCAGUAUACAGUCAUCUGCAUGGCUAUGGUUUAUUUCAGCAAAACACCACAAAGCUAAACCAGUAAAGAGAAAAUACACACAGGGUAUUGUCUCAAGGAAACCAGGCAGAAGCAUCUAAGAGUCCUCUCCCAGUGGAGUCACAUAGGACAUGCUUGAUUUCUCCAGCAUCAAGCUGUGACAACACACAUGAACUGCUACCAACCAAGAAGGCCAAGGGCCCCAAGUUUUUGCUGGGGGGAUGGCCACAUAAGCACCCUUUGCCUAACAUACACUAAAAUACCAGACUUCCAGAGGAAAGGCAGGUGUGCAGCAUCAACCACGCUGUUUGCACACACACUUCAGGCCACUUUUACCAGUUAAGGAAUUGUGGGAACCCUCCCUACCUCUGAGUUCCCAGAUGCCAGCCCAGGGCCAACCUGGCAUGCAGGCCUUUCCUAAGGACAGCAGUCUCAGGUCUGCCAUUAACUCUUUUCUGCACCUCUUCUCUACAUUCCAAAUGUGGCUUGUCUACAUGCUAACCCCACUGAAAUAACAAAUUUUGGGCCGGGCACAGUGACUCAUGCCUGCAAUCCCAGCACUUUGGGAAGCCGAGGCAGGCAGAUCAUGAGGUCAGAAGAUCAAGACCAUCCUGGCCAACAUGGUGAAAACCUGUCUCUACUAAAAUAAAAUAAAAUAAAUUAGCCAGGCAUGGUGGUGUAUGUCUGUAGUCCCAGCUACCUGGGAAGCUGAGGCAGGGGAAUCACUUGAAUCUGGGAAGAAGAGGUUGCAGUGAACUGAGAUUAUGCCACUGCAUUCCAGCCUGGUGACAGUCUCAAAAAAAAAGAAAUAACAAAUUUCAUUCUUUCUUUCUCAACAGCAGGCUGAGCAGGUGCACUUUCAAGAAUCUCUUUUUAGUCUUUCCUGUGUAUUCAUGGCAAGACCCACAGGGCUUCUUUCAGAAAUGAAGCGAUGUUUUGUUGGGACAUGUGUUACUUAGACUGAGGGAGCUGGUGUGGAAACCUUUCUAGGACUGUUCAAAAUGUAUCAAAAACAUGUCAGUGAGGCCUUGGCCAAAUCAAAUAAAAAUGAGUCCAUGUGUUCA